UUCCUACGGGGGGCAGCAGUGAGGAAUAUUGGUCAAUGGGCGAGAGCCUGAACCAGCCAAGUCGCGUGAAGGAUGACGGCCCUAUGGGUUGUAAACUUCUUUUGUCAGGGAGCAAUUGAGUCCACGUUUGGGCUUAGCGAGAGUACCUGAAGAAAAAGCAUCGGCUAACUCCGUGCCAGCAGCCGCGGUAAUACGUAGGGGGCAAGCGUUAUCCGGAAUUACUGGGUGUAAAGGGAGCGUAGACGGUUAAGUAAGUCUGGAGUGAAAGGCCGGGGCCCAACCCCGGGACUGCUCUGGAAACUAUU
rnacentral:rRNA from 1 species